ACAGUGGACGCGAGCAUCUGUGGCCAAGUUUUUAAGGGCGCACGGUGGAUGCCUUGGCACCAGGAACCGAUGAAGGACGUGGGAGGCCACGAUAGUCCCCGGGGAGUCGUCAACCAGGCUUUGAUCCGGGGGUUUCCGAAUGGGGAAACCCGGCAGUCGUCAUGGGCUGUCACCCGCUGCUGAACACAUAGGCAGUGUGGAGGGAACGCGGGGAAGUGAAACAUCUCAGUACCUGCAGGAAGAGAAAACAACCGUGAUUCCGGGAGUAGUGGCGAGCGAAACCGGAUGAGGCCAAACCGUAUACGUGUGAGACCCGGCAGGGGUUGCGUGUGCGGGGUUGUGGGAUCUCUCUUUCACAGUCUGCCGGCUGUGAGACGAGUCAGAAACCGUUGAUGUAGGCGAAGGACAUGCGAAAGGUCCGGCGUAGAGGGUAAGACCCCCGUAGUCGAAACAUCAACGGCUCGUUUGAGAGACACCCAAGUAGCACGGGGCCCGAGAAAUCCCGUGUGAAUCUGGCGGGACCACCCGUUAAGCCUAAAUAUUCCCUGGUGACCGAUAGCGGAUAGUACCGUGAGGGAAUGGUGAAAAGUACCGCGGGAGCGGAGUGAAAUAGUACCUGAAACCGUGUGCCUACAAGCCGUGGGAGCGUCGCGUGCAGCACUUGUGCUGUACGUCGUGACUGCGUGCCUUUUGAAGAAUGAGCCUGCGAGUUUGCGGUGCGUUGCGAGGUUAACCCGUGUGGGGAAGCCGUAGCGAAAGCGAGUCCGAAUAGGGCGAUUCAGUAGCGCGCUCAAGACCCGAAGCGGAGUGAUCUAGCCAUGGGCAGGUUGAAGCGGCUGUAAGAGGUCGUGGAGGACCGAACCCACCAGGGUUGAAAACCUGGGGGAUGACCUGUGGUUAGGGGUGAAAGGCCAAUCAAACUCCGUGAUAGCUGGUUCUCCCCGAAAUGCAUUUAGGUGCAGCGUCGUGUGUUUCUUGCCGGAGGUAGAGCACUGGAUAGGCGAUGGGCCCUACCGGGUUACUGACCUUAGCCAAACUCCGAAUGCCGGUAAGUGAGAGCACGGCAGUGAGACUGUGGGGGAUAAGCUCCAUGGUCGAGAGGGAAACAGCCCAGAGCAUCGACUAAGGCCCCUAAGCGUACGCUAAGUGGGAAAGGAUGUGGAGUCGCAGAGACAACCAGGAGGUUGGCUUAGAAGCAGCCACCCUUGAAAGAGUGCGUAAUAGCUCACUGGUCAAGUGAUUCCGCGCCGACAAUGUAGCGGGGCUCAAGCGUACCGCCGAAGUCGUGUCAUUCCAGCAUAUAGGGCCAACGCCUGCUGGGAUGGGUAGGGGAGCGUCGUGUGCCGGGUGAAGCUGCCGCGGAAGCGAGUGGUGGACGGUUCACGAGUGAGAAUGCAGGCAUGAGUAGCGAUACAUACGUGAGAAACGUGUGCGCCGAUUGACUAAGGGUUCCUGGGUCAAGCUGAUCUGCCCAGGGUAAGUCGGGACCUAAGGCGAGGCCGACAGGCGUAGUCGAUGGAUAACCGGUUGAUAUUCCGGUACCCGCUGUGAAGCGUCAAACAUCGAGCCCAUUAAUGCUAAGGCCGUGAAGCCGUCCUGGAGCCUUCGGGCAAAGGGAAGUGGUGGAGCCGCCGACCCAAGAUGGUAGUAGGUGAGUGAUGGGGUGACGCAGGAAGGUAGUCCAGCCCGGGCGGUGGUUGUCCCGGGGUAAGGGUGUAGCCCGUCAUCUAGGUAAAUCCGGAUGACAUGUGGGUGAGACCUGAUGCCGAGCCGAUUGUGGUGAAGUGGAUGAUCCUAUGCUGUCGAGAAAAGCCUCUAGCGAGUUUCAUGGCGGCCCGUACCCUAAACCGACUCAGGUGGUCAGGUAGAGAAUACCGAGGCGUUCGGGUGAACUAUGGUUAAGGAACUCGGCAAAAUGCCCCCGUAACUUCGGGAGAAGGGGGGCCAUCACCGGUGAUGAGUCUUGCACUCUGAGCUGGGGGUGGCCGCAGAGACCAGCGAGAAGCGACUGUUUACUAAAAACACAGGUCCGUGCGAAGCCGUAAGGCGAUGUAUACGGACUGACGCCUGCCCGGUGCUGGAACGUUAAGGGGACCGGUUAGUGCGCUUUCGGGCGUGCGAAGCUGAGAACUUAAGCGCCAGUAAACGGCGGUGGUAACUAUAACCAUCCUAAGGUAGCGAAAUUCCUUGUCGGGUAAGUUCCGACCUGCACGAAUGGCGUAACGACUUCUCGACUGUCUCAACCAUAGGCCCGGUGAAAUUGCACUACGAGUAAAGAUGCUCGUUUCGCGCAGCAGGACGGAAAGACCCCGGGACCUUUACUACAGUUUGAUAUUGGUGUUCGGUUCGGCUUGUGUAGGAUAGGUGGGAGACUUUGAAGCGGGCACGCCAGUGUUCGUGGAGUCAACGUUGAAAUACCACUCUGGUCGUGCUGGAUGUCUAACCUGGGUCCGUGAUCCGGAUCAGGGACAGUGUCUGAUGGGUAGUUUAACUGGGGCGGUUGCCUCCCAAAGAGUAACGGAGGCGCCCAAAGGUUCCCUCAGCCUGGUUGGUAAUCAGGUGUUGAGUGUAAGUGCACAAGGGAGCUUGACUGUGAGACCGACGGGUCGAGCAGGGACGAAAGUCGGGACUAGUGAUCCGGCGGUGGCUUGUGGAAGCGCCGUCGCUCAACGGAUAAAAGGUACCCGGGGAUAACAGGCUGAUCUUCCCCAAGAGUCCAUAUCGACGGGAUGGUUUGGCACCUCGAUGUCGGCUCGUCGCAUCCUGGGGCUGGAGUCGGUCCCAAGGGUUGGGCUGUUCGCCCAUUAAAGCGGUACGCGAGCUGGGUUUAGAACGUCGUGAGACAGUUCGGUCCCUAUCCGCUGUGCGCGUAGGAAUAUUGAGAAGGGCUGUCCCUAGUACGAGAGGACCGGGACGGACGAACCUCUGGUGUGCCAGUUGUCCUGCCAAGGGCAUGGCUGGUUGGCUACGUUCGGAAAGGAUAACCGCUGAAAGCAUCUAAGCGGGAAGCCUGCUUCGAGAUGAGUAUUCCCACCCCCUUUGAGGGGUUAAGGCUCCCAGUAGACGACUGGGUUGAUAGGCCAGAUCUGGAAGCCCGGUAACGGGUGGAGGUGACUGGUACUAAUAGGCCGAGGGCUUGUCCUCAGUUG
rnacentral:rRNA from 1 species